rnacentral:lncRNA from 1 species
AGGUGGGGAAAUGGUCAAAGAGCGAUGGGCCCAGAAAAGGGUCAGACCCAGAUGGAGAUGCCACUGGCUGCUAGCAGACCCCCACGCUGGGUCUAGCCCACCCAAUCCCAUGGGGAUGCUCCUGUGCUCUGCAGACAUCUGGGUGCUGCCACAGGGGCCCGACAGAGUUGGCAUCUGGGUGGAUCUGAGCCAAGUGGUGCUUCUGGGCCUCAGCAAGUAGCUGGUGCUGAUUCUGGGCAGCCAACUGUGGCAGCAUCUUCAGGUGCGAGUGCUGCUGGGUGAAGCUGCGUGGGCAGUCCAGAAAGUGACGUGACAGUCCACAGGGACCGACGUAGGGUUUCCAGCCCCUAUCUGUGCAGAUGCUGUCCUCCAAACCAUCACGGUCCCUCUCUGGCUGGGGACGUGCGCCUGCCACUGCUGGCUUGCCAGCAUGAUCAUUGGUUGUGACCUGUUGAGCCCAUCUUGCCAGCCUCACAAAGGACAGUACUAGCUGCUUAUGACAGGAAAGUGGAAGAACUUGGCCUGGAUAUUUCUGGAGAAUUACCGUGUGUGCUAGUCAGUCUUUCGUGUCAACCAGGCCAGGCUGUGGGGCCCAGUGAUCUCAUCGAGAGGGGCCGAGGUGUUGCUGUGAUCGUGUGCUGCUGGAAUGUGGUGAACACCUACAGUCGAUUUCACCUAAAGAUCAUCCUUGAGAAUGUGGGUGGGCCUCAUCCUAUCAGCUGAAAGCUUUAAGAGCAAAACCCGAGGUGUCCCAGAGAGGGAAUUCUGCCUUGAGACGGCGGCUUCCCACUCCCACUGGAUGUCCAGCCCGCGGCCCCACGGCUGGGUGAGCCCGUCCUCUCCUCGUUUCUGUCUCCGGACCCACCGUGUGGCCCCAGACCCUCCAGUGAGGACCUCCCGUAUUUCUUCAGAGCAGCCCUUGCGUGCUGGAGGCCUGGGCUUCAGUGUGUCCCUGGGUGCCCUGGGGCAUGUUCUGUGACCUCCCAGCUCCUCGCCUCAUGGGGCCGCUGUAUCAAGUGACACAGUUUGUGUGCUGCGUACCAUGCCUGGCACCCAUUUGAGGUGUUGCAAGGAGGCCAUGUUUGCUCGAUGAGAGCAGCCUAAGAUCUACAAACUGUUGUUCGAGUGGAUGGGAACUUGAUGCUAUUUUCAGGCUGAAUGACAAGACUCCGCGAUGCUUCUCGGCCUGGGCUGCACAACGGAAUCUACCAGGGAGGUUUUAAAAACACUGGUACUUGCUGGAGGUGGUGGCGCCUGUCUGUAAUUGCAGCUGCUCCAGAGGCUGAGGCGGAGGAUUGCUUGAGCCCAAGAGUUUCGGUUUAUUUGCUUUUUCAGAGUCUUGCUCUUGCCCAGGCUGGAGUGCAGUUCCAUGAUCUCGGCUCACUGCCUCAGCCUCCCAAGUAGCUGGGAUUACAGGUGCAUACAACCAGGCCUGGCUGAUCUUCGUAUUUUUAGUAGAGAUGGGGUUUCACCAUGAUGGUCAGGCUGGUCAAGAUCUCCUGACCUCAAGUGAUCUGCCCGCCUCGGCCUCCCAAAGUGCUGGGAUUACAGACAUGAACCACAACACCUGCCGAGCCCAGGUGUUUUGAAUCCAGCACGGGCAAUGGCAAGACCCUGUCCCAACAAACAAAAAAACACUGGUGCCUGAGGCCCACCCCGAGAGAUUCUGAUUGAGUUGAUUUGGAUUUGAAUUAUCUUUAAAAUUUUGGAUGUGAAUUUUUUUUUUUUUUCUUGGAAUGGAGUUUCACUCUUGUUCCCCAGGCUGGAGUGCAACGGGACGAUCUUGGCUCACCGCAACCUCCGCCUACUGGGUUCAAGCCAUUCUCCUGCCUCAGCUUCCCAAGUAGCUGGGAUUACAGGCAUGUGCUACCAUGCCCAGCUAAUUUUGUAUUUUUAGUAGAGACAGGGUUUCUCCAUGUUGCUCAGGCUGGUCUUGAACUCCUGACCUCAGGUGAUCCGCCCGCCUCGGACUCCCAAAGUGCUGGGAUUACAGGCAUGAGCCACCAUGCCUGGCCGGAUGUGAAUUAUCUUAAAAAUUUUCAGGUAAUUCUAAUGGGCCAAGGUUGAGAACCCCUGCUCUGGGCCCAUCCGAGCACCAGGCUGUCACAAACGCAUGCAUGCACUCACGCCCGUGGGCUUGGGGGGCUUCGGAAAUGUGCUUCUGCUUUUUUGAGAUGGGGUCUUUCUGUUGCCCAUCCCGGAGCACAGUGGCACGAUCACAGCUCACUGCAGCCUCGACCUCCUGGGCUCAGGUGAUCCUCCCGCCUCAGCCUCCUGAGUGUCUGCUUCUGGUUUUCAUGAUGACCUGGGGCCCAGGCAUACUACACUUGUGCUGUUCAGGGGCCAGUCCUGCACCAGGAGCCCAUCAGCCACAGCUCCGCCGAGAAGCACUGAUAUGCAGAGCUAAGCAGCUUUGUUUCCACGUGGAUCCUGCGUAGGUUUUCUUGGUCCAUCCGUAGACACCGCACUCCUGCAGAGGAUCUUCUCGGGAUGCCCCACUGUCUCUGUUUUCCCUCUUCACUGAACACUCAGUCGGGGCUCGCCAUGAUGCCUCUGUGUCUGCUGGCUUCUCCCCCAUUGGAACAGCCUUCUUGGCACGCCACACUGCUAGCUGCUGGGCACUGUGCUUUCUGCCUUUACCGUUCUGCCGUGAUGUUGCCAAAAUAGCAGCAACAACAACAACAACAAAGGCUGGGCACCUGGCUCAUGCCUGUAUUCCCAGCAGUUCGAGAUCAGCCUGGGCAACAUGCCCCAACUGGACCCUAGGCAAAAGUGAGUGGCACUCCUCUGCCAGGACUCCAGGCAAGCCCCGGCAUCUUCUUGCUGCCGUCCCAGACAACAGAAGUUACCAGAUGAACAGACUUGGAUGGGCCACGGGGGUGGAGAGCUGGAAAGCUUGGCUGUGCCUCUCGAUGAUGAUUAAGAUUUCAAUAUUUACAGCAAAACCACAAAGCAAAUGAUAGAAUAAAGCAAAACAAUGGAAAAUCUGAGUUCACUCGUGAGAGAGGUACGUAUGUGAGCUCUGAGGAAAUUACAGAGGGAACGCAUGCAGCGGGACAGCUCUCCCAAUCGCAGCGUGCAAAGUAGACAUCCAUAGUGUCUUUUGAAAAAUGAAAAACACAUUACUUUGAACAGCCAAGAAAAAAAUUGCAAUUUAUUAAGAUUCAAUAAAGCGUUGUACUUUCGAAAGCA